rnacentral:rRNA from 1 species
UACGUAGGUGGCGAGCGUUUGUCUGGAUUUACUGGGCGUAAAGAGCGCGCAGGCGGUCGGCCAAGUCGAGUGUGAAAGCCCCCGGCUCAACUGGGGAGGGUCACUUGAUACUGGUCGACUCGAAGGCGGGAGAGGGAAGUGGAAUUCCCGGUGUAGUGGUGAAAUGCGUAGAUAUCGGGAGGAACACCAGUGGCGAAGGCGACUUCCUGGCCCGUUCUUGACGCUGAGGCGCGAAAGCGUGGGGAGCGAACAGG